rnacentral:rRNA from 1 species
UGGCGGACGGGUGAGUAACACGUGGGUGACCUGCCUCGCAGCGGGGGAUAACCAAGGGAAACCGUGGCUAAUACCGCAUAGGCUUAGGCGAAAGGGAUUCGUUUAGGUAAAACUGAGGUGCUGCGAGAGGGGCCUGCGUCCGAUUAGCUAGUUGGUGAGGUAACGGCUCACCAAGGCGAUGAUCGGUAGCUGGUCUGAGAGGACGAUCAGCCACACGGGAACUGAGAAACGGUCCCGACUCCUACGGGGGGCAGCAGUGAGGAAUGUUGGGCAAUGGACGGCAGUCUGACCCAGCAACGCCGCGUGGAGGAUGAAGGUUUUUGGAUUGUAAACUCCUUUUGCAGGGGAAGAGAGCGGACGGUACCCUGAGAAUCAGUCACGGCUAACUACGUGCCAGCAGCCGCGGUAAU